UUUUUCCUACGGGACGCAGCAGUGGGGAAUAUUGCACAAUGGGGGAAACCCUGAUGCAGCAACGCCGCGUGAGUGAAGAAGGUUUUCGGAUUGUAAAGCUCUGUUAGCAGGGAAGAGGAAGGACGGUACCUGCAGAGGAAGCCACGGCUAACUACGUGCCAGCAGCCGCGGUAAUACGUAGGUGGCAAGCGUUGUUCGGAAUAACUGGGCGUAAAGGAUGCGUAGGCGGGUAAAC
rnacentral:rRNA from 1 species